ACAGGGUUAUUUUGUUUACAGUUUACGGCUCCAAUUGGUUGUUACUGUGGUGUUAAGACAACUACCGUAUUGCUGCCUCGCUGAUCGUGGUUAAUGAAGUUCCUCGUGUCAUUCGUAAGAGGACGGUGACGUGAAGAUGUAAGAUAUGGGCCACAAGACGAAGGUUUGUUUUGGUUAACGGGUCUCUUGCUGCACCACAUUGGAAACUUUCUGUUAUAACAUAAGAUACUGUGAUGUCACGUCUCAAGACCAAGUGUAACUAAGUAGAAGUUCACAAUGUCAAGCAGAGAUAAAAAGUUCUCCUGUGAGGAAUGUGGCAAACAGUUUGGCUUCAAGUCUUCUCUUCAGAAACAUUUACUUGUACACAAUGGUGUGAAGGAGUUUGAAUGUGAGGAAUGUGGGAAAUGUUUCACCCAGAAGAGUACUCUCAAAACACACAUUCUUGUCCACAAUGGUAUAAAGGAGUUUGAAUGUGAGGAAUGUGGGAAAUGUUUCCCCCGGAAGGGUGAUAUCAAGAUACACAUUCUUGGACACAGUGGUAUAAAGGAGUUUGAAUGUGACGAAUGUGGGAAAUGUUUCUCCCAGAAGAGUCAUCUCAAGACACA